rnacentral:rRNA from 1 species
AUUGAACGCUGGCGGCGUGCUUAACACAUGCAAGUCGAGCGGCAGCGGGCCCGCAAGGGUGCCGGCGAGCGGCGGACGGGUGAGCAAUACAUAGGAAUCUGCCUCAGAGCGGGGAUAGCCAGGGGAAACCCUGAUUAAUACCGCAUGACGUCGAGAGACCAAAGUGGGGGACCGUAAGGCCCCACACUCUGGAGAUGAGCCUAUGUCGGAUUAGCUAGNGGCGGGUAACGGCCCACCAAGGCGACGAUCCGUAGCUGGUCUGAGAGGACGAUCAGCCACACCGGAACUGAGACACGGUCCGGACUCCUACGGGGAGCAGCAGUGGGGAAUAUUGGGACAAUGGGCGAAAGCCUGAUCCAGCGACGCCGCGU